UUAAAUAUCAACAAUUUAUUUCUCAUAAUAAUAAUUAUUUUUAUACACAAGUGAAUCAUAUGCACAGAAUCGUGCAUAAAUAUUAUUAUAAGCUUUAAUAUAGUACAAACUCAAAAGACUCAAUAUAAAGUCUACUCAUACAAGCACCACAUUCAAACCAAAAUGUCUAUAAAUAGUAACCAAUCUAUCUUUAACAUUUAAUACCUUUUGAUAUUCUCAAUUUCGUCUUCAUUUUGUUUUAAAUUUACUUUAAGAUCGCUAACAUGUAUUAUUAUUUGAACAGAAAUAUUUUCUUGUGUCUUAUUUUAAGUACAAGAAUUAAUUGCAGUAUUCAUAUAAUUAAUGCGUUUUAUUUUGUAAUUGGACAAAAAUUGAAAACAGGAAAAUUGUAAAUAUCUUUUCUAUUGAACAAGAUUUUUCUGUUUCUAAAAGGUUUUGCUCCAUUGUUAGUUCCAAAAGUAUGACGUUGUAUUUAUAUAGAUUUUUCUUAAUUCAAAUUACAAUUAAUUCUGUUGAAAAAGAUAACAAAUACCAAACAUUCUUUAAAUAGAUAUUUAAAACAAAGUAUAUCAAAAAGACAUAUAUCAUUUUUCAGCAUCACUUGCUAAAAGUCACCACCUUUUUGGCUUACCAUUCAGAUUCUGUUUACAAUUUAUAUGGGAUAUUUAAUUGGCAGAAAAGUUUAUCAAUUCCAGGAUUUUUACUCUAGAGGAAGAAAUACCCUAUUCAAAAUCAGUUUAAAAAAAAUGGAUGAAACAACUACAUAGAUCUACUAUUAGUAUGGCUUUGCCAACAACAGUAGAAAAACAAGAACAACCAAUUCUAAAUAAGACCACCCUUUUUAUGGCAAGAUGAAAAACCCAUAGAGUAAAGAUCCUGGGAUUGUUUUUAUGUGAGAUAAGCAUCUGAGUAAGCUAUAAAUAGAUUAUUAAAAUGGAAUUCAUCAUAAACAUGAUAAACAAUAUAAAAUCAUCUAACAGUAUAUAGAUACAGUACAUUCAAAUUAAAUGCUCAUUUUUUUCUGUAAAAAAAAUCACAAAAAAAGGUAAUGUUUCUCCUCUAUGUGUGGAUGUGUUUUACAAAAGCCUUUUUUGGUUUUCAUAUUAAAAAUUACUACUGUAAUCUCAAUUGAACUUUAAAAACGUUUUUAAACUUUUGAAAUUAAUGAACAACCAUUUGAACAUUUUGGACAUGUCUUAUAAGUAUGUCUGGAUUCCAACUUUACUAACACCUUCAACUUUCUAUAUGUCAUCACAACCUUUUGAUGGCUAAUCUUCAAUUCAACAUUAAAGAUUCAAUUUUUGUCUAAAUCCCCCCUCUUUUUCCACAUAAAAAAAGUGUGUAAUUUCUAAAUAUACUAUUUUCUAAAAUUAUCAACUUCGCAUGAAAAACAGCUAAGAAAUAAUAAAAAUAUUAAAAAAACAAACAUGAACUUGUAAUGUACUGUAUUUCUCUAAAAUAAGUCAUUGCACAAAGUCAUUAGCCACAGAAAAAACAUCUACAUGAGAGUAACCUUCUAUUAAGUAACAGUUAAAGUGAACUACAGAAAAAAACAUUUCAUUAAUAAGACUAUUUGAUGAAGAGAGAUCUUCUUUUGCAUCAUUAAGCUCCCCAAAAGCAAUAUACUGUGGAUUCAUUAUUUUUCGUAGGAUACCAAUUUUUGUGGGUUUCACGGGUACAGGUGAACCACUAAUUCAGAUGUUAAACGAAUAAUAUAUUAUAAAUAGGCUUUGUAUAUAGAGUUCGGCAAAACCAAGAAUUCAAAUAUCCACGAAUAUAAAAAUUUUUAGCAAUCCACGAAAAAUAAAUGAAUACAUAGUUAUACAUAAUUAAGAGACUUGAAUGUUUACCACAAAAUCUACAUGAUUUUCAAGUAAAAUUGGUUUUGUAUGAAUAUAAGAUUUUCUAGAAAACAGCAUAAAAUUUACAUUGUUUUUUUUUUUACAAAAGUUGAUGCAUAUGACAAUGAUUUAUUCAAAAUACCAUACUUUUUAAAACAAAAAUGCCCUUUUAUUGUUAAACACUUGUAAACAAUGGUCUACAGACUAAUCAAACAUGGUUUCUAUUAUUUAUAAUGUCCCGGGUACUUUUGGUUUCUAUUUUUUUAAACAAAUGAAAUGUUCCUUAAUUGUGAAGCUUUACAUUGCAUAAACCAGACAUGUAUAUAAAUAGCUAUUCUUUCCAUAACUGGAAAUUCUCCCUUUAAAUGUCUAUUAGAGAAUAACUAGCUUCAUGUAUUUUAAAAAUAAAGGGACUCUUUUUACAAAAAAUCUCAAAAUAAAAUUGAUCAUAUUUUAUACUGGUAAUAUUCAUGCCUUAUGAAAGAUUUUACUCAUAGAUUUUUGGUCAAAAGGGUGGUUAUCUUUAUCAUCGAAAUACUGAUAAUUUAUUUUGCAGAUUUCUAUAUUGUCAAACUGUUAUAAAAUCUGAUGUUCUAAAAACUACAUAAACAAUAAUUCAUUGGAAUUCCUCAAGUUGUGAUCAAAGAUCCUUAAAAAAUCAUAAGAGUUCUAACGAACUUUCAAAAUUUUUCAAGGAUAAUAUGAAAAUUCUUUUGGAUAAUUUUCAUGGCACAUCAUCUUUUAAUAUUCUUCAAUUAAAGCUUAAGAAUGGCGUUCUGUUUUAUAUGUAUACAAUUUAAUCUAUUCUAGAAAAAUCACUGAAGCACAAGUUAUUUUACAGUAACAGACAAAAUGAUUGUCUAGAAAAUAUGGCGGGAUAAAUAAAUACAUCCAUGAGCAAAUGUCUUAUUUCAGGUUGUUUCUUACAAUGUGUUUUAAAUUGCAUGGUGUAGCUACAUUUCAGAAUCCAAAGGAUUAUGGGUAACUCAUUGUUCCUUCACCAAAAUGAAAAUGAUGUUACUUUAUAAUUUGAAUUUCCAUUGUUAGUAUGCUUUGAACAAAUCAAAGUUUUGGUGCCACUUUUUGAAAAUAUUAUCCAGAAUGCAUUAGAUUCUGAAAUGACAAAUUGCAUGGUGUAACUACAUAUGAAAGUAAAGUGAAAUUCAUAUAAGGCCAAAUAAAAUAUACCAUUGUUUGCUGCCUCCCUAAGGCAUACCUGCCAACUUUUCAAAACGCCCAUGGGGGUUUUACGUGCAAGAUGGCUAUAAUGUAAAACAAUGUAGUCUUACAAAACCUUCAAUGGGGCCUUCAAAUACAUUUUAAAGUUGUUUUUUUGGCUUCUCCUUACUUUAACAAGCCUAUGGCCAUUAUAAAAUUAAUUGUUUUGUUAAAAUUAGGACAAAAUUGAUCUUUCAAAAUUAUUUUUUGGAGCCUUCAUGGGGGAAAUCCCCCACAAAUAGUGACAGUUGGCAGGUAUGCUAAGGCCAAAUAAAAUAUACCAUUGUUUGCUGCCCCCCUUCCUUAAAAGAGUAGGGGUUUUUCAAACAUUUACAUACUGUAAACCAACUAAAUUUCGCGACUUUCGCGAGUAAAAAAAUAACGCGAAUUUAAAUCGUUGCGAAUAUGUAAAACUUGCAUCUUUCCUUAUUUAACUACAUCAAGUUAGUUAUAAAAUCCGGAAAUUAAAUUACCACGAAAUGGAAUCGAAAGGGCUAAACGCGAAAUAUAGUUGGUUUACAUACUUUCCAUUAUUUAACUUUUUUUGGUUGAUUUCUAUCCAAUGAAGCUGUAAAGAUCAUACGUAAGUAUUGAAAUUCAAGGUAGGUAUUGGAACAGGAAACAGAUAGGAUGUUUUACAAUAUAAAUAGUGGUGAAAUUAUUUUUUAAAAGGUUACAAACUUCUGCCAUUUGUAAAAUAUAAAAUUAAAUCACAGUCAAGAAUUGGAUUUAUAUGGAGUCAUAUCUCUUGUAAUGUUAAAUCUCUGAAUUGAAUUAAAUACCUAGAAAAAUUGUACACUUUAAAGGUAAAAGCUUCCAAAAAAGCUUCCAUAAAUUAAUUUUUGUAGCAAAGAGCCAGAUUAUAUGCAAGCUUUUAUGUAAAUGUUGUGAAGGCUAUUUUUUAAAGGGAGUGGUAUCAAAUAGGUUUUACUUUAUGCUGUGUCUUUCAAAAAAUACAAUUCAAAAUUGCCAUUAUUUCUAUAAAUCAAACCUUAUACUUUGAAAAUAGUCAGAAUUAUUUUAUUUCACAAUCUUGUGCAAUUUUUGAAAUACCUGAUACAAUCUUAGAUGGACAUAAAAAAUGUGACAAAAAAAUUAUCAAACGUAAAAUUGCCUUUAAGUAAUACACUUUUUCAAUUCAGUCACCUGAAAAACACCUGGAUUUUCUUAUGUAAACAAAGGUUGUGCAUAGAUAACUGCAUGCAUAGUAUAAUUGGUGAAGCCAAAUACCUUUUUUCAAAGUUCUUUAAAUUUAAGUAAAUCUACAAUACUGUGAAUUCCUUGAUUUUCCAGCAUAACAAUUGGAUUUUGGAAUUAUCAUAUUUUCAUAGAAUUUUGAUUUUAGCAUGUAAAUUAUCAGUAAACCUAUAGAAUGAUAGAAAAUUUAAAUUCAUGAAUUUUUGAAAUUAUGUUUUUUUUGUAUACCCACAUUUCCAAAAGAAUUAGUAUUCAAUGAAUAUCAAUGAGUCCACACUCAACAGUAUUGCCAUUUUUUGUCUAUAAAAUUUGCAGAUGUGUACCCAGUGUACAAUGGAUAAAUCCAAAUGACAAAAUAGCGAAUAAAAACUAUAUAAAGUUACAAAAGUAAUAAAUCUUGAAUCUAUUCAUGAACGAAAACAAUAGGAAAUACUGGCUUUAGAUUAACUCUCUUUUUAAAGGAAAUUCUUCAUAGAUUGAUUUAGUUAUUAUUUUCUUUCUUAAAACAAACUGAAACAUAGAAUUGAGGCCAACCAAAAAUGGAAUGAGUUUCAGGUUUCGGUGUAAAAAGUAAGGUAAAUUAGUCAAUAACUAAUGAAGUUUUAACUUCAGUAUUGUUUCAAUUAUAACUUAUUACAUCUGUAUUAUUUCCCUUGGUUCUCACAAUGGUGGAAAGUUAAAAAAAAAUUUUUAUAAGAUAUAAAUUAUUACCAAUCUCAAUAAUUUUAUUCGAACCAUACAUCUCUUUAUUUUUAUAUCAAUAACAUUAAUUACCCAACCCCAUACCAAUAAAAAAGAGGAGCCUGAAAUACAGAUAUUUUUCAUGUUGGCCUAAGGCAAUAACCCACCUCCAUAACAAUAUGAAAAAGGAACCUGAAACACUGACAUUUCUUAAAUUGGCCUAAGGUGCAAAAACAAAAUAAUGAGUAUAUAAAUCUAUCACAGGGGUUGGAAAUCUUCUAUAAAAAUUGUUCAAUUACAAAUCUAGUGACACUGAAAAUAUAUAGUGAAGCAAAUAUAUAAAUUUAUUUAUAACUCCCAAG
rnacentral:lncRNA from 1 species